UGGGGAAUAUUGCGCAAUGGGCGAAAGCCUGACGCAGCAACGCCGCGUGAGGGAUGACGGCCUUCGGGUUGUAAACCUCUUUCAGCGGGGACGAAGCGAAAGUGACUGUACCCGCAGAAGAAGCGCCGGCUAACUACGUGCCAGCAGCCGCGGUAAUACGUAGGGCGCAAGCGUUGUCCGGAUUUAUUGGGCGUAAAGAGCUCGUAGGCGGUCUGUCGCGUCGGAUGUGAAAACCCGGAGCUCAACUCCGGGCCUGCAUUCGAUACGGGCAGACUUGAGUACUGCAGGGGAGACUGGAAUUCCUGGUGUAGCGGUGGAAUGCGCAGAUAUCAGGAGGAACACCGGUGGCGAAGGCGGGUCUCUGGGCAGAAACUGACGCUGAGGAGCGAAAGCGUGGGGAGCGAACAGG
rnacentral:rRNA from 1 species